AAAACAGAUAGCAUCAACGUUAGCUUUAACAAGAAUAACUUCGGGAAAAGUUGCAUAAGAACACGAUUUGGCACAUGCAUACAAUACUACUGCUGAAAUUAACAUCUAAAAUUCAACUGCAGUAACUUAAGAGGCAUCAGCAGAAGGUUGGGUCACUCCAGACUUCACUAACAACUUGCUCAGAGAGUCUGGUGAGCAAACCUGGUACUUCACUUCUCCAGAAGGCAGGAGGAAGACUUCGGCCAAUUCAAGCUUAUCAGAUGUAAGACUCGUGCUGUCCAUUGUCUUGCUGAGAACCUUUAGUGCCAGCUGAACUGCCUCUUCUCUUGUGAUAUCAUCCUUGUAAUCCUGCUUCAACAUUGACUGUGCUGCCUGGUUGUUUGCUCCAACAGCCGCUGCCUUCCAACCACCAUAGUUUCCACUAGGAUCACUCAUGUAAAGCUGGAAACCAAAAUUUUUGUCCCACCCUGCAAAGAGAAAUGAGACGCCAAAGGGACGGAGCCCGCCAAACUGUGUGUAACCUUGCUUGGUAUCACAAAGAGAUUGAACAAGCUGCUCAACAGGCAUUGGUUCCUGGUAUGCAUAAGUGUAGCACUGAGCUUGAACUCUAGCUGUAUUGAUAAGGAUGUUGGCAUCAGACAUUAUGCCAGCCACAGCACAUGCUACAUGGUCGUCAAUCUUGUACAUCUUUUCCGUCGAUGUUGAAGUCUGAAGGAGUUUAGAAGUGACCUUCUUUUCACCAACCAAGACAGCCCCAUCUUUUGACAAUAUCCCGAUUGCUGUUCCAGCAUUUCCAAUUGCCUCCAUGGCAUACUCUACUUGGUACAAACGACCUUCUGGGGAGAAGAUUGUUGUGCGGCUAUCAUAUCUUCGAGACAUUUUAUACCCACUAAGUAUGAAAGGAGCGCAGCCAAGUCAGCUAGAAACCAAUGAUACCUCUCAAGAUGAUUAAAGAUAUGUAACAGGAAUAGGAACAUUAAUAGAUGAUAGACCUAGUCCUUCACGCUACUAGUCAAUUCCUUCAUGCUACUAAUCAUUCAUGAGUGUGUAUAGAAAAUCAUGCUGUGCCCAUAAAUCUGAGAAUAAUGCUCACUGCAUUUGACUGCCCUAUCGUUAGCAGUUAAUGCUCUAUUUCUUUAUCAUCGGAACAAAAAACGGAUUUUAAUUAAGAUUAUUGCAAUGAUUCAGAGAAUUUAGCUUUUGAGUUAAUAUGUAUAAGCUAAAAUUCCUUCAUAUUUAAGUAAAUUUGCUUAACAAUGUCUGACGCGCAAUCCAAUAUCCUCUCAAAUACUGUUACUUGUUAUAUUACAAAAGGCAAAAGGAAAAUGAGUUCUAAUGUUUCAGAACUGACAAAAUACUAUGGUUAGUGUGCGUGAUCUAAUUGCAACAGAUUUACAAGCUAAAAUCCAAUACAAUGAUAUAUAAAACAAGAGAUCGAAAAAAGAAAUUACUAGGGUUAGUGUGUGUAAUCUAAUUGCAAUAGACUUUACAAGCUGAAUCUCAAUACAUCAAGUGUCAAAGAGACUAAAUGAAAAGGGGGAAAAAAAUCAAGUAUUUGAUGCUAAUCAGACCUUUUAAAUAAAGUAAAAAAGGAUGUCUCUUCAGUUCAGGUCUCCAUUAUAAUUCCGCAAUGUAAUUUCUCAGAAGAACGAAAGUUUUACAAAUUAAACAUCAUCAUCAGAGACAUCCAUAAUCAUAAUACAACAAGAGAUCGCUACGUAUCAAAGAAAUAAAUAAAGCCCCAGAAACACACCUGGUUUUGAGCUUCGAUUAAGUGAAAGAGCACAGGUCCGACGAGUGACGAGUAAACUGCAGUUUUAAAGUAAAUUUUCAAGUCGGCGCUCUCACCGCCACAAAACCCUAGCUUUCUGCCCUCUUUGUUUCUGGAUUUCAGGGUUAAAUCGUUAAUCACAAUACCGCUCGCAACUUGGUCCACAAGACAGAUGCUGAUAUCUUCAGGUAAAAAAAUGUCGUUAAUUUUACUUUAAUUGAUCAAAUUGCUCAUUGUACUCUUAUGUAUUUGAGUUUCUUUAAUUUUUUAUUUUUCCUUUUUAGACAAUAUUGUUUCUUUCUUGGAUCACAAUGAAUUCUAUGGACAUUAGACCAUGUUCUGGGCCGGGCUAAAACAGCAGCGACGUCGUAUAAGGAAAAUGUAUGUGGUGUUAAUUCUGAAUUGGGACACACAAUUUCGUCCAGUUUCAAAUCAGCCCAAAAAAAUAUUCUCACUUUUUUAAUAACAUAGCUCUGUAUAUUUCAGCAGUUACAGUAAUAAAAACUUCUUUUUGUCUUAAACGAGGAAAAAAAGCUGUAUAUUCUCUUUCUAUCCUUAUUAUUGAUGAUGAUAUGUAAUUUUACCUCUAUUUUUAACAACAAAAUAUCUCACAAAUUAAUAAAUUAGCUAUAUUGUCUAAUAAUUUUUUACAAAAUAUUAUGAAAUUUAUAAAUUUUCAUAUUAUACAGAAUUUAUAAAUAAGCAUAAAUAUUUAAAUAAAAUAAAAUAAAAAAAGGAUGUCUCUGCAGUUUAGAUCUCUAUUAUAAAUCCGCAAUGAGCAAUUUGAUAUAUUAAAGUGAACUUAAUGACAUUGAGAUAAAGGCGAUGCUUUUUUACGUGAAGAUUUAAAGAGAGAGUGUGAUUAAUGAUUUAACCCUAAAAUGUGAGCCAAUUAUUUGUUUUAAAUUUGUUAAAAUGUACUGUCUUUCUGACCAAGCUUUCUAUUCGAGUGAGAAAUGAAUUAGCAGCAACGUCGUAUAACCGUAGCUUUUCUUUUACACUAGAAAAUGUAUAUGGAGUUAAUUUUGAAUUAGGACACGCGAUUUUAUUCAAUUUCAAAUCAGUCCAAAAGAAUUUCCUCAGCUUUUUAAUAACACAGCCCGGUGUAUAUUGCAGUAGUUACAACAAUAAAAACUUCCCUUUGUUUUAAUGAGGAGAAAAAGAUGCACAUUCCCCUUCCUUAUUAUUGAUGAUGAUUUGUAAUUUUACCUCUAAUUAUCAAAAUAUCUCACAAAUAAAUAAAUUAGCUACAUUGUCCAAUUAUUUUUUAUAAAAUAUUAUGAAAUUUACAAAUUUAUGACGAGUAUAUAAUACCUUUUAGUAUGUUUUUCUUAAUUCAUACAUCUCUUUGAAGAUAAAAGUAAUUUGUUAAUCUAUUCAAUAUUAUUUUUAAAAAUAAAAUAAUAAUUUUAAUACUUGAAAACAUUAGAAUAAGAAAGAAUAUUAAACAAAUGAAUUUUAAAUCACUAAUUCUCAGAGGCAGUAGAAGAAUAAAAGGGUAAGAAAGAAAUAUAAUUUGUUCGGGCCCAUAUAAUGUUAAGCACAUAGCGUCAGUAGCUUUAGCAAGAACAACUUCUGGGAAAAGUUGCAUCAAGAAUACAAUGCCGCAUGCAUAUAAUAUUACUGCUGAAAUUAACAUCUAAGAUUCAACUGCAGUAACUUAAGAGGCGUCAGCAGAAGGUUGGGUCAUUCCAGACUUCACUAACAACUUGCUCAGAGAGUCUGGUGAGCAAACCUGGUACUUCACUUCUCCAGAGGGAAGGAGGAAGACUUCGGCCAAUUCAAGCUUAUCAGAUGUAAGACUCGUGCUGUCCAUUGUCUUGCUGAGAACCUUUAGUGCCAACUGAACUGCCUCUUCUCUUGUGAUAUCAUCCUUGUAAUCCUGCUUCAACAUUGACUGUGCUGCCUGGUUGUUUGCUCCAACAGCUGCUGCCUUCCAACCACCAUAGUUUCCACUAGGAUCACUCAUGUAAAGCUGGAAACCAAAAUUUUUGUCCCACCCUGCAAAGAGAAAUGAAACGCCAAAGGGACGGAGCCCGCCAAACUGUGUGUAACCUUGCUUGGUAUCACAAAGAGAUUGAACAAGCUGCUCAACAGGCAUUGGUUCCUGGUAUGCAUAAGUGUAGCGCUGAGCUUGAACUCUAGCUGUAUUGAUAAGGAUGUUGGCAUCAGACAUUAUGCCAGCCACAGCACAUGCUACAUGGUCGUCAAUCUUGUACAUCUUUUCCGUCGAUGUUGAAGUCUGAAGGAGUUUAGAAGUGACCUUCUUUUCACCAACCAAGACAGCCCCAUCUUUUGACAAUAUCCCGAUUGCUGUUCCAGCAUUUCCAAUUGCCUCCAUGGCAUACUCUACUUGGUACAAACGACCUUCUGGGGAGAAGAUUGUUGUGCGGCUAUCAUAUCUUCGAGACAUUUUAUACCCACUAAGUAUGAAAGGAACGCAGCCAAGUCAGCUAGAAACCAAUGAUACCUCUCAGAUGNNNNNNNNNNNNNNNNNNNNNNNNNNNNNNNNNNNNNNNNNNNNNNNNNNNNNNNNNNNNNNNNNNNNNNNNNNNNNNNNNNNNNNNNNNNNNNNNNNNNNNNNNNNNNNNNNNNNNNNNNNNNNNNNNNNNNNNNNNNNNNNNNNNNNNNNNNNNNNNNNNNNNNNNNNNNNNUUACAAGCUGAAUCUCAAUACAUCAAGUGACAAAGAGACUAAAUGAAAAGGGGAAAAAAUCAAGUAUUUGAUGCUAAUCAGACCUUUUAAACAAAGAAAAAAAAUGCAUAAAUAUAUAAAUAAAGUAAAAUAAAAUGAAGUAAAAAAGGAUGUCUCUUCAGUUCAGGUCUCCAUUAUAAUUCCGCAAUGUAAUUUCUCAGAAGAACGAAAGUUUUACAAAUUAAACAUCAUCAUUAGAGACAUCCAUAAUCAUAAUACAACAAAGAGAUCGCUACGCAUCAAAGAAAUAAAUAAAGCCCGAGAAACACACCUGGUUUUGAGCUUCGAUUAAGUGAAUAAUAGAGCACAGAUCCGACGAGUGACGAGUAAACGGGAGUUUUAUAGUAAAUUUUCAAGUCUAGCUUUCUGCCCUCUUUGUUUGUGGAUUUCAGGUUUAAAUCGUUAAUCACGCAACUUGGUCCACAAGACAGAUGCUGAUAUCUUCAGGUAAAAAAAUGUCAUUAAUUUUACUUUAAUUGAUCAAAUUGCUCAUUGUACUCUUAUGUAAUUGAGUUUCUUUAAUUUUUUAUUUUUCUUUUUUAGACAAUAUUGUUUCUUUCUUGGAUCACAAUGAAUUUUAUGGACAAGAGACCAUGUUCUGGGCCGGGCUAAAACAGCAGCGACGUCGUAUAAGGAAGAUGUAUAUGGGGUUAAUUCUGAAUUGAGACUCGCAAUUUUGUUCAGUUCCAAAUCAGCCCAAAAGAAUUUCCUCAGUUUUUUAAUAACAUAGCUCUGUAUAUAUGAAAUUUAUAAAUUUUCAUAUUGUACAUAAUUUAAUAUGGCAAGUAUAUAAUACCUUUUAGUAUGUUUUUCUUAAUUCAUACAUCUAUUUUGAAGAUAAAAGUAAUUUGUUAAUCUAUUCUAUAUUAUUUUUAAAAAAUAAAAUGAUAAUUUUAAUAUUUGAAAACAUUAAAAUAAGAAAGAAUAUUAAACAAAUGAACUCUAAAUCACUAAUUCUCAGGGGCAGUAGAAGAAUAAAAGGGUAACCAAGAAAUAUAAUUUGUUCGGGCCCAUAUAAUGUUAAGCACAUAGCAUCAGUAGCUUUAGCAAGAGUAACCUCUGGGAAAAAGUUGCAUCAAGAAUACAAUGCCGCAUGCAUAUAAUAUUACUGCUGAAAUUAACAUCUAUGAUUCAACUGCAGUAACUUAAGAGGCGUCAGCAGAAGGUUGGGUCACUCCACACUUCACUAACAACUUGCUCAGAGUCUGGCGAGCAAACCUGGUACUUCACUUCUCCAGAGGGCAGGAGGAAGACUUCGGCCAAUUCAAGCUUAUCAGAUGGAAGACUGAAUUUAUAAAAUAAAAUAAAAACUAAAUUUACAGUGAUACAAAUUAAAAUAAUAUUCUUUAGAUAUCUUU
rnacentral:lncRNA from 1 species